UAACUGGAGGAAGGUGGGGAUGACGUCAAGUCAUCAUGGCCCUUACGAGUAGGGCUACACACGUGCUACAAUGGCAUAUACAAAGAGAAGCGACCUCGCGAGAGCAAGCGGACCUCAUAAAGUAUGUCGUAGUCCGGAUUGGAGUCUGCAACUCGACUCCAUGAAGUCGGAAUCGCUAGUAAUCGUGGAUCAGAAUGCCACGGUGAAUACGUUCCCGGGCCUUGUACACACCGCCCGUCACACCAUGGGAGUGGGUUGCAAAAGAAGUAGGUAGCUUAACCUUCGGGAGGGCGCUUACCACUUUGUGAUUCAUGACUGGGGUGAAGUCGUA
rnacentral:rRNA from 1 species